UACGGGGGGGGCAAGCGUUGUUCGGAAUUACUGGGCGUAAAGGGCUCGUAGGCGGCCAACUAAGUCAGACGUGAAAUCCCUCAGCUUAACUGGGGAACUGCGUCUGAUACUGGAUGGCUUGAGUUCGGGAGAGGGAUGCGGAAUUCCAGGUGUAGCGGUGAAAUGCGUAGAUAUCUGGAGGAACACCGGUGGCGAAGGCGGCAUCCCGGACCGACACUGACGCUGAGGAGCGAAAGCCAGGGGAGCAAACGGG
rnacentral:rRNA from 1 species